rnacentral:lncRNA from 1 species
GUGCUUUCGAAAUCGCCCUGGUCGUCUCCUCCCGCGCCGCACCCAGAUAAUGGGUUCCCGAGCUGCCGGCUCUUCCCGCCUCGGCCCUGUGACGCAUCUUGUAAAAAUAGCUCCCGGAACUCCACGCCUAGCCAGCCCCAGGCCGGACCGACUGCCCGGCGGGACUGCAGCGUGGGAGGCGCAGCCGGCCUCCAGGAGCGAGGGCCGGGGAUCCAGAGUCCAGGGCAAGGCGGGCCGGGGCAGCCCUGCCCGAGGGACUGGGGACCAUCCAAGGGGGAAGUGGGGUCAGAGUGCCCCCUCUGGGGAGAGAGGGCUGUAGAUCAGGCCCCCGACCCCCAUACUCCCCCACCCAGUAGAGGGGAAAGGAGGGCGUGGGCCGCAGGGAGCCAGCCCGGGCACGUGGCCUUUGCGGUGCCCAGGACACUGAUCCUCCCUGGUACCCUGGCUCACUUCCCGGCCAGAACUCCGUGGGGGUGGGGUGGGGUCUCCACGGGAUCCCCGCUGCCCUGGGGCCCAGACCUGCGCCCAUAUCGCCCCGGAGGCCUGGCUUCAUUUAAGGAGACUUGUCUGUCCCCAGAUAGCUCCGACGACUCACCAGCCCCAGACAGCUCCUUUGCUACCUUGUUUUUGUUCCAGCGUCUGCGCGGACAUCCCAGGUCAAGUGUGAGCAUCUCAGGAGAGCACCCUCUACCACCCAUGGUACUUAGAGAACUGAGAACCACCUGCCCACAGGUGAACCAGUCCUCCAGCGACUGGUGCUCCAGGAGCAUUUAGGCCUGAAACAAAAAUGUGUCAGCAGCUCGGAGUAGGUUACACCGUAGGUCACAGGCACCAGUGCCCAGUCCCUGGCUGGCUUCUCCCAUCACUCCGAUUCAGUGCUCUCAUUCUAGUUGGUAAGCACAUAACCAAGGCUUAUCCUCUGCAGGUACAGAGGAAACUGAGUGGAGGAGUAGAAGCAGAGGCAGUAUGGACAAGGGCUUCUUCCCAAUGCCAGCUUAUGAGGCAAGAAGAGGGAAAUGGGGUCUGGGGGAUGGAAACGUGUCUGAUAACCAUUGAUGGCUGAAAACCAAAUUAUUGUAGAAAAGCUUUCCUUUACCACCUUCCUUUCACAAGCUGUGAUAAAAUAGGUGAUUUUGUUUGUACUGAACCAUAUGAGAAGACUUCGUGUCGAUGGCAGGACCAACCGUCCCUCCUGGGGACUCCUCUGGGGGCAGCAACCACUCAGACGGGGUCCAGGGCUGGAGAAGUCCUAGUGAAUCAUUCUGUCCAACGUGCCGGCCGAGGAAGCCAAGGCUCAGGCACUUGACCUGGCCAGGGUGGAACCUACCUGCAGACGGCCUUCUUGUAUUCAUGCCAGGAGCUGAGGGCUUGCUGCUCUCUCCUACUCCCCACAUUUCCCACACACUAAGUUAACGGAGUGAAGUUGUAAGGAACCUGAAGUCAGUUGUGAAAGACAGAAAUUCCACUCAAAUUGCCAAUAUCCGUUG